rnacentral:rRNA from 1 species
UCGUUGCCCGCGACGUCGCGAGAAGUCCACUGAACCUUAUCAUUUAAAGGAAGGAGAAGUCGCAACAAGGUUUCCGUAGGUGAACCUGCGGAAGGAUCAUUG